rnacentral:rRNA from 1 species
GAUGAACGCUGGCGGCGUGCUUAACACAUGCAAGUCGAACGAAGCACCUCUCCCGAAGAUUGACACAGCUUGCGGGAGAGUGAUUCAUUUGAGGGGACUGAGUGGCGGACGGGUGAGUAACGCGUGGGGAACCUGCCUCAUAGAGGGGGACAACAGUUGGAAACGACUGCUAAUACCGCAUAGUAAGAAGAAUUCGCAUGUUUUCUUCUUGAAAGAUUUAUCGCUAUGAGAUGGACCCUCGUCUGAUUUGCUAGUUGGUAAGGUAACGGCUUACCAAGGCGACGAUCAGUAGCCGGCUUGAGAGAGUGACCGGCCACAUUGGGACUGAGACACGGUCCACACUCCUACGGGAGGCAGCAGUGGGGAAUAUUGCACAAUGGGGGAAACCCUGAUGCAGCGACGCCGCGUGAGUGAAGAAGUAUUUCGGUAUGUAAAGCUCUAUCAGCAGGGAAGAUAAUGACGGUACCUGACUAAGAAGCCCCGGCUAACUACGUG